CCCGGCGGGUUUUCGGUUGAGGCGGGGGCUGAGCUUAGUGUCCGUUAUGAGUCUCGGCUCCGGAGGAGCAGCUUGCCAGCCAUCCUGGCCCGCCUCUCCCUCGGCUUCCAUCGGGCAGCCGGGCGAGGGCCGGCGACCUCGUCUCCCGCCGGGGCUGGGGCCGCCGGUCGGCGGGCACCUCGGCGCCUGCCCCUGGGGCUGGAAGAGAAAGUGAAAUGAAGCGCCUUUCCCCCAAGCAACACCUACCCGUCCCCAGUCCAGGGACAAAAUCACAACCUGUAUUGGAGAAAGCCGGAAAAGGAGAAGAGAAAAAAAUUCAAAAUCUUCUCCAGACGAGGAACAUUUCCCGAGCUGGAAUCUCAUCCAGUGAAUGGAGUGGUUACAAUGAAUUAGAAUACCUGAAACUCUAGUGCUAACUCCUCCUGAGACUUACUGAACAAGUUUUCACUCACCAUCCACCCCGCUCCUACCGUCGAUUCCAUUGCAUUUCCCAACCCCGAAGAGCUUUGAUUAAGCUAUCUGCAAACCUGGGGGUGUCCUUGUCUCGCAUUCAUUCAUUUAAAGUAUUUAAGUACUGUCUUUUAAAAGUUCCGUUGAAUUCA